GGGGGUAUGGUCUAGUGGUAUGACUUCUGUUUUGCAAUACCCUAUGGGUCUCUCACAUACAGACGGUCCCCCGUUCGAUCCGCGGUGCUUCCA